UACGUAGGGUGCGAGCGUUGUCCGGAAUUACUGGGCGUAAAGCGUGCGCAGGCGGUUUUGUAAGCCAGAUGUGAAAGCCCCGUGCUCAACCUGGGAAUGGCAUUUGGGACUGCAAGGCUUGAGUGCGGCAGAGGAGACUGGAAUUCCUGGUGUAGCAGUGAAAUGCGUAGAUAUCAGGAGGAAUACCGAUGGCGAAGGCAGGUCUCUGGGCUGACACUGACGCUCAUGCACGAAAGCGUGGGGAGCAAACAGG
rnacentral:rRNA from 1 species